ACUCACGUUCUCUCUCUCAGAAGCAUCACCACCAGACUUCAAUAUUUAUUCAUUUCCUUUCUUUUCAUUUCUUUUGCUGCAGCUCACCAAUUCUUUCCACUUAUUCUUCCUCUCUUUUCUUUCCCCUGGGCAGCAUAAAAAAACGCACAUCAUGGUCCCUUUUCCUCCCUCACGUGAUUCCUCUCUUCUGCAGCACCAUCAUCUUCAUCUUCCAAUUUUAUGGGUACGAAGGACGAAAGCGCCUUCCGACGAAGCUAAAGAAUAGAAGGAAGCGAGCCGACGCGGAAAACAAAGAUGUGAUAGGAUUGGAGUUGCAGUUUAGGAAGAAAAUUGGCUAAGGAGAAACUUGGCUACAUGUCACACGCUUCAACGUUCUAUCAAUUAUUAAAAAGAUACGUGUUCCUCAGAAAUUGGAAGUAACCAUGCUCCUACUGUACCCUAGUGUCAAGACUCUGACCGUUCAACGUCACGUCAUCAGUCAGAUAUAUCAAGUAGUAUUUUUGAGCGCCAAAGCCUUAGUUUGAUUUCAACCGGCUGUCUCACAUUUAGAUCAAAUGGCAACUACUUGAAUUUCAUUCAAACUAGAUCACAUGAAGACAAGUUUGCUUUAAGCAAAAGGCACACUGACCAACGAGGAAAAGUUCAAGAUGUCAACAUCAAAUUGCCAAAUUGUCUCUUGUCUGAAAAGUAGCCCAAAGUCUAUCACCACCUACUAGCUGACAAACAUCACCUUUUGAGUUAAAGGAUAGACUUGCUUCAGAAGUAACAUUUAAUGAAGCUACCAACCAAGCCAUUUGAAUCAACGGUCUGAUACCACUGUUAGGAAAUAACACAGUUGAAGAAGUAAAAUAAACCAAGAGCACAAUCAACACGAGAAUAUAACGUGGAAACUCCAAAACCGGAGAAAAAACCACGACCGUUGUCAAAACCGACAACCAGAGAAUAAACACUAUGUGAAAAUUGUUACAACGCAUAGACUUCACUCUCAAUCACACCCCAAGACCCAGUACACCCACACUCUCCAAAGUGAAUAUUUGAAUUACAUCUCACAAUGAUCUAAAACAAGAGCAUAAGAGAAAAAGAAAACACAAAUAUAAACAUAAAGUGUUUUCAGGUGCUAAUGCUUGUUAUUUUUGUUGUGUUGAAACAAGGAGCUUGAGAUCCUUAUAUAUAGUCUUGGACCCUCCCACCUCUCACUAAUCUAAGCAAUGUGAGACUUCUCCAAGAUGCAUAACUUAAUCUUUUUUUCUCCUUCAUUAGCAAUGUGGGACUGACAUUGGAAUCAACUCCAACAGCUUGUAGUGUCUUCUGUCAUAUUUCUCCUCCAUUUAACGUGUUUCUAGUUUGUGGUGAAGGAAUUCAGUUCAAGCUUCUUUGAUGGGGUAGUGUCACGUGGGUAUAGAUUCAUUUGGAUUAUUAUAUAGUAUUUUUGUACUGUUACAGUAAGGGGCGGGUUUAUGCAAGUGGGUGAGUUUAUGCAAACCCCAUGUUAGCACCCUUUGUGUUUAAUCAAUAUAUUUUCUACAUAUAAAAAAAAAAAGUACCGGUGAUCUCAAGUACCAUUGUUGGCCUUGGAUGUUAGACAUCACAUUACAGAAAACUGAGUGCAAAAUUUGCAUACAAGGUCUGUUUGUAACUUCAUUGGGUUUUGAUUUUUGAAAUGACCAAAACCAAAGGCUGAAAUUAUGCCUUUAAAAUGUCCAUUACUCACACAAUAACUCAUAAUAUAGUAAUUAAUAGCUUAAUUUGCUACUCAAAAUCAAAUAUGCAGCUGUAUCAAUUGCACGGCUUUAAUUUUUUUGUUUAAUUUUAAGAAAGCUUUUAAUUAAA